AUAGGACGGAGAAACAACAUUACACUUGGCAGCUUUCAGUGGAAACAUUGAGUUAACAAACUGGUUGAUAAAACAAAAAGGGAUGGAUCCAAUGGUUAAAACAACUAAGGAAGGUCAAACAGCCUUACAUUUGGCAGCUUUAGGUGGAAAGUUGGAGAUGACAGAAUGGCUGAUAGGUGAAAAAGGAAUGAAUCCCAUGGUAAAAACAUCUCAGGAAGGUAAAACAGCCUUACAUUUGGCAGCUGAAAAUGGAAAGUUAGAGGUAACAACAUGGCUGAUUGAA